rnacentral:RNase_P_RNA from 1 species
GAAAAUAUACCGCCAGUUCGCUGGUAAGGGUGAAAUGGUGCGGUAAGAGCGCACCGCGCGGGUGGCAACACGCCGCGGCACGGCAAACCCCGCCUGGAGCAAGACCAAAUAGGGGAGCAGGCAGGUCCUCGGACCUCGACCGCCGCCUGAGCGGGCUCCCGGGUAGGUUGCUAGAGGCAGCCGGCGACGGCUGUCCCAGAUGAAUGGUUGUCCACGACAGAACCCGGCUUACGGCCGGCUCUCUCUU